rnacentral:tRNA from 1 species
AUGCGUUAGGGGCUUGUAGCUCAGUUGGUUAGAGCGCGCGCUUGAUAAGCGUGAGGUCGGAAGUUCAAGUCUUCCCAGGCCCACCUGGUCACGGGGCCAUAGCUCAGCUGGGAGAGCGCGUGCUUUGCAAGCAUGAGGUCGUCGGUUCGAUCCCGUCUGGCUCCACCAGCGUCCGCGAAACAUCACUUCGCACUUGUUAGUCCGGAUGGACAGCAAGCUGCGUGUUUUCUGACAUCGUAAAGAGGAGAUCGAUCCGAGUUGGAUCGUGGGGCAACCAAUUGCCACGCGAGACUUCAUUAUCUCCGGAUCAUUUCGGCGCUCAUGCGCCUUUCAGGGCGGCUCACAAGGCCGCUUCUGGGAGGAGCGCGAGUUGUAAAUGAUCCUUUUAGCGAAGCUUGACCGCCUCGCUAUCGGAACGAUCUUACGAAGCAAGCUGGUCUUUCUAAUCAUUGUCCGGCUGCAGAUAGCGUUCAUCGAGGGCGCGUGCCGCAAGGCAAUUCUGCAGACAACAUUCUGCCGAGUGUGUGGACAUUGAUAAUGAGAGC